rnacentral:siRNA from 1 species
GCGUACAAGGAGUCAAGCAUG